rnacentral:rRNA from 1 species
ACAGCAGUCGCCACGGGAAUACAGAGGGUGCAAGCGUUAAUCGGAAUUACUGGGCGUAAAGCGCGCGUAGGUGGUUUGUUAAGUUGGAUGUGAAAUCCCCGGGCUCAACCUGGGAACUGCAUCCAAAACUGGCAAGCUAGAGUAUGGUAGAGGGUGGUGGAAUUUCCUGUGUAGCGGUGAAAUGCGUAGAUAUAGGAAGGAACACCAGUGGCGAAGGCGACCACCUGGACUGAUACUGACACUGAGGUGCGAAAGCGUGGGGAGCAAACAGGAUUAGAUACCCCGGUAGUCCCUGUCUCUUAUAC